rnacentral:rRNA from 1 species
AGAGUUUGAUCCUGGCUCAGGAUGAACGCUAGCGGCAGGCUUAAUACAUGCAAGUCGUGGGGCAGCAGGUUUGUAGCAAUACAGAUGCUGGCGACCGGCAAACGGGUGCGGAACACGUACAGAACCUUCCUUUGAGCGGGGAAUAGCCCAGAGAAAUUUGGAUUAAUACCCCAUAGUAUAAUGAAGUGGCAUCACUUUAUUAUUAAAGAUUUAUCACUCGAAGAUGGCUGUGCGGCUGAUUAGGUAGUUGGCGGGGUAAAGGCCCACCAAGCCUGCGAUCAGUAACUGGUGUGAGAGCACGACCAGUCACACGGGCACUGAGACACGGGCCCGACUCCUACGGGAGGCAGCAGUAAGGAAUAUUGGUCAAUGGAGGCAACUCUGAACCAGCCAUGCCGCGUGGAGGAUGAAGGUCCUCUGGAUUGUAAACUUCUUUUAUAUGGGACGAAAAAAGGCUUUUCUAAGUCGUCUGACGGUACCAUAUGAAUAAGCACCGGCUAACUCCGUGCCAGCAGCCGCGGUAAUACGGAGGGUGCAAGCGUUAUCCGGAUUCACUGGGUUUAAAGGGUGCGUAGGUGGGUUGGUAAGUCAGUGGUGAAAUCCCCGAGCUUAACUUGGGAACUGCCAUUGAUACUAUCAGUCUUGAAUACCGUGGAGGUCGGCGGAAUAUGUCAUGUAGCGGUGAAAUGCUUAGAUAUGACAUAGAACACCAAUUGCGAAGGCAGCUGGCUACGCGGAUAUUGACACUGAGGCACGAAAGCGUGGGGAUCAAACAGGAUUAGAUACCCUGGUAGUCCACGCCCUAAACUAUGGAUACUCGACAUUUGCGAUAAACUGUAAGUGUCUGAGCGAAAGCAUUAAGUAUCCCACCUGGGAAGUACGAUCGCAAGAUUGAAACUCAAAGGAAUUGGCGGGGGUCCGCACAAGCGGUGGAGCAUGU